rnacentral:lncRNA from 1 species
CAGAAGUCUCCUCAUUAACAUAAACCCCGCUGUGAUGGCAGGGAGAAAGACAAGCCAAGUUCUCAGGACACAAAACAAGACAAACAAGAAGGAAUAGGUGUCCUUGGGAGAGAAAGGAUCGAUAACCAAUGAGCACCUCAAAACCAAAUUCACAAGAGCCUGCAUUGGAAAGGAAGAGACAACAUGAAAUUUUACCUUCCUUUCUUGACCAGGAAGACACAGGGAGAUUUGACAGCAAAGAGAAGAGAAGGAAACAUGAAGACGGAGCAGAGAGAUUUGAAGAUGCUGCCUUUGAAGACUGAAGUGAAGCCAAAGAAUGCUGGCAACCACCUGACGCUGAAAAAGGCAUGGAAUGAAUUCUCCCCAUAGGCCUCUCAAAAGAUGGAGGUUGUGCUGAUGCCUUGAUUUCACUCCUGUGAUACUGAUUUUG